rnacentral:rRNA from 1 species
UGGGGAAUCUUGGACAAUGGGCGCAAGCCUGAUCCAGCCAUGCCGCGUGGAUGAUGAAGGCCUUAGGGUUGUAAAAUCCUUUCGCCGAGGACGAUAAUGACGGUACUCGGAGAAGAAGCUCCGGCUAACUUCGUGCCAGCAGCCGCGGUAAUACGAAGGGGGCUAGCGUUGUUCGGAUUUACUGGGCGUAAAGCGCACGUAGGUGGGCAGUUAAGUCAGGGGUGAAAGCCCGAGGCUCAACCUCGGAAUUGCCUCUGAUACUGGCUGUCUAGAGUUCGAGAGAGGUGAGUGGAAUUCCUAGUGUAGAGGUGAAAUUCGUAGAUAUUAGGAAGAACACCAGUGGCGAAGGCGGCCAACUGGCUCGAUACUGACGCUGAGGUGCGAAAGCGUGGGGAGCAAACAGGAUUAGAUACCCUUGUAGUCCCUGAGCGGGCUGGCAAGGCGCAU